rnacentral:rRNA from 1 species
GAUGAACGCUAGCGGCAGGCCUCAUACAUGCAAGUCGAGGGGCAACAGGACACUUCGGUGUUGCUGGCGACCGGCGAACGGGUGCGUAACACGUAUGUAAUCUACCUUAUACUAGGGCAUAGCUCUCGGAAACGAGGAUUAAUACCCUAUAUUAUCUUAUUAGCGCAUGCUAGUAAGAUGAAAGCUCAGGCGGUAUAAGAUGAGCAUGCGCCCCAUUAGCUAGUUGGUGAGGUAACAGCUCACCAAGGCAACGAUGGGUAGGGGUUCUGAGAGGAAGAUCCCCCACACUGGCACUGAGACACGGGCCAGACUCCUACGGGAGGCUG